CUGGGGAUCUGCCCGAUAAGGGGGAUAACCACUGUAAACGGUGGCUAAUACCGCAUAUCGUCUCACGACCAAAGAGGGGGACCUUCUGGCCUCUCACUAUCGGAUGAACCCACAUGGGAUUAUCUAUUAUGCGGGGUAAUGGCCCACCUAUGCGACAAUCCCUAUCUGGUCUGAGAGGAUGACCAGCCACACUGGAACUGAGACACGGUCCACACUCCUACGGGAGGCACCACUGGGGAAUAUUGCACAAUGUGCGCAAGCCUGAUGCACCCAUGCCGCGUGUAUGUAAAAAAGCCUUCUCGUUGUAAAGUACAUUCACCGCGGAGGAGGCGAUAGGGUUAUUAACCCUGUCUAUUGACAUUACCCGCACAAAAACACCCGCUAACUCCCUGCCCCCAGCCGCGGUAAUACAGAGGGUGCACGCGUUAAUC
rnacentral:rRNA from 1 species